CAAAAGCAAGUUUUCACCUGGCAUCGUGAUCCGAGACUCAGAAAUGCAUCAAUAGCAGAUCAGAUCACAGGUGAAAGCAUGCAAUGAACAUCCACUCUGCAACAAUGAAGUAAGUGGCAUGUUGUCCCCGGUGCCACCCUCUUGGUGAACUAUUUACCCAGCACCUCAGUUCCUCAUGGUAAAUACUGUAACUGUAAACAGUGGAAUCUCAACUAUGACGCUGUAUGGGAUAGCAGCUGUCUUACGGGCUCCUAACCAAUUCUGCUAUGUUUUUUUUUGAGCUGGUCUUAACUUUCUUUUGUGCAUAAUGUUUCUGCCAUCAUUUCCUAUGACUGUAAACCGCUUCUGGACAUCAGAACAGCGAUCACUACCCUCUAUUUGGACGAAAAUGUCGACUUAAAUGAGUUGGCAGCUCUGGACGUUCUGCUUACUCUGGACCAGGCCCUAAUCCCCGGGAAUCGAAAGAGGAAGCGGCGGAGAAAGAGAGGCAGGUGAGCCGGCACCAUGACAAGACUUCGUCAGUGAGUAAAUAGACCGCCAUUGCCCUCUGUCCUACUAGAAAACGUGCAGUCACUGGAGAACAAACCAUGACUAUCCUAUCAACGGGACCUAAUAUCCUAUGUUUUUUCAGAAGUUGUGGCUGAACUAGGACAUGGAUAUACCAGUCAAAAGUUUGGACACUUACUCAUUCAAGGGUUUUUCUUUAUUUUUACUAUUUUCUACAUUGUAGAAUAAUAGUGAAGACAUCCAGACUAUGAAUAACACAUAUGGAAUCAUGUACUAACCAAAGUGUUAAACAAAUCAAAAGAUAUUUUAUAUUUGAGAUUCUUCAAAGUAGCCACCCUUUGCCUUGACAGCUUUGCACACUCUUGGCAUUCUCUCAACCAGCUUCACCUGGAAUGCUUUUCCAACAGUCUUGAAGGAGUUCCCACAUAUACUUCUCGUCAGAUUCUCUCAAGUUGGAUGGGAAGCGUCUCUGCACUGCUAUUUUCAGGUCUCUCCGGAGAUGUUUAUCGGGUUCAAAUCCGGGCUCUGUCUGGUCCACUAAAGGACAUUCAGAGACUUGUCCCGAAGCCACUCCUGCGUUGUCUUGACUGUGUGCUUAGGGUCGUUGUUCUGUUGGAAGGUGAACCUUCGACCCAGUCUGAAGUCCUGAGCACUCUGGAGCAGGUUUUCAUCAAGGAUGCUUCACCGUAGGGAUGGUGCCAGGUUUCCUCCAGACGUGAUGCUUGGCAUUUUUGUUACUCAUGGUCAGAGUCCUUUAAGUGCCUUUUGGCAAACUCCAAGCGUACUGUCAUGUGCCUUUUACUAACGAGUGGAUUCCGUCUGGCCACUCUACCAGAAAGACCAGAUUGGUGGAGUGCUGCAGAGAUGGUUGUCCUUUUUGAAAGGUUCUCCCAUCUCCACAGAGGAACUCUGGAGCUCUGUCAGAGGGACCAUCGGGUUCUUGAUCACCUCCCUGAGCAAGGCUCUUCUCCCCCGAUUGCUCAGUUUGGCUGGGCGGCCAAGAGGAAGAGUCUUGGUGGUUCCAAACUUAUUCCAUUUAAGAAUGAUGGAGGCCACUCUGUUCUUGGGGACCUUCAAUGCUGUAGAAAUGUUUUGGUACCCUUCCCCAGAUCUGUGCCUCUACACAAUCCUGUCUCAGAGCUCUACGGACAAUUAAUUUGACCUCAUGGCUUGGUUUCUGUGCUCUGACAUGCACUGUUAACUGUGGGACCUUAUAUAGACAGGUGUGUGCCUUUCCAAAUCAUGUCCAAUCAAUUACAUUUACUACAGGUGGAUUCCCAUCAAGUUGUAGAAACAUCUCAAGGAUGAUCAAUGGAAACAGGAUGCAUCUGAGGAGAAGGUCAGAGACCUGGUAGUGUGGUGCCAGGACAGCAACAUCUCCUUCAACGUCAGCAAGACAAAGGAGCUGAUCGUGGACUACAUGAAACGGAGGAGGAUGUAGUGGAGCGGGUUGAGAGCUUCAAGUUCCUCUGUCUACAUCACUAAGGAAUUAACAUGGUACACCCACACCCACACAGCUGUGAAGAGGGCCUGACAACACCUUUUACCCCUCAGGAGACUGAAAAGAUUUGGCAUGGGUCCCCAGAUCCUCAAAAAGUUCAGCUGUAGGGGCCUCUCGGAUGGCGCAGUGGUCUAGGGCACUGCAUCGCAGCGCUAGCUGUGCCACCAGAGAUUCUGGGUUCGCACCCAGGCUCUGUCGCAGCUGGCCGCGACCGGGAGGUCCGUCUAGGUCUAGGACCAAAAGGCUCCUUAACAACGUCUACCCCCAUGCCAUAAGACUGCUGAACAAUUAAUCAAAUGGCCACCCAGACUAUUUACAUUAUUAUCUAUACAUAGUCACUUUACAAAUUACCUCCACACAUUUACCUGUACCCCCACACAUUGACUCGGUACAGGUAACCCCUGUAUACAGCCUCAUUGUUGUAUAAUUCUAUUGUGUUAAUUUUUGAUUUUGAAAUUUUUUACUUUAGUUUAUUUAGUCAAUCUUUUCUUAACUCUAUUUCUUGAACUGCAAUGUUGGUUAAGGGCUUGUAAGUAAGCAUUUUACGGUAACGUCUACCUGUUGUAUUCAGCGCACGUGACAAAUAACAUUUUGAUCAAAAAUGUGGAUUUUGAUUUGCAUCACGGCUUGGUACAGCAAUUGGAACGCAGACGACCGCAAGACACUACAGAGGAUGGUAAGUACGGCCCAGUACACAACUGGGGCUGAGCUCCCUGCAAUACCCUGCCAUACAGGACUUAUUUGUGUUCCACCUGCUAGAUGGGAAUAACCACUCCCCCUCACGGCAAGUCCACAUAUCCCUCCAGGACAUGGAUAAAAGUUUGUGGACAGACAGACUACCAAAUGGCACUUUCUAUGACAUGAGUUCAUUGUCAGUGCUAUAGCCACAAUUUUUCUGGAAUCAUUUCCAUCUUCGUGAAGCCGGUGAAAACCAGCCGCAGCGAGUGUGUGGUCCUGACAACAGACGUCCUGCUGGUGACAGAUAGUACAGACAAACCCGAGGAGCUGCUGUACAUGGUCACGGUCCCACCCCGGCAACAGUCACAUGGAGUACAUCAAACACCCCGUGGUGGCCAUCAGCACCUUCAGCCAGAUGGACAUCGCUGCCAACCUGGUGGGCUACGUCCACAACAACAGAGCCACUGCACCACUGGAGACACUACAGUAAUGGCAACACCUCUUCCAAUCUAUACAAUUACUCUCUUAGGGGUCAAUUCUAAGUUGAUUUAUGCACACCUACAUAUCCUGUGAAAUCACUUUUUGUAUUACAUUUACAGUGUUCAUUAAGCGCCAAAAAAUGGUUAUACCUGCUUUGUAUAUUUUGAAAUAAAAAAAAUGAUCAAAUGCAUUGAACAAUGCAAGCUAGGUGCAAUAAUAUCCUAGGUUCACACCCACAAUCUUCCCUAAUAUACAGGUAUAUUUAGUAUCUAUUGUUUAUGAAUAAGGUAUAUUGCCUUUAACGGGUUUGUAGUCAGCAGCGGCAAGGCCACCCGUAACAGCACCCUGGAGAUCUCUGUGGAGACCACCGGCAACGUCCUGCCCUUGCUGGCGUGUAACGGCGGCCUAAGAGUCCCCCAGGAUUCCUCCAUGGCAGUGACCCCCGACGCCCUCGUCCUGUCUGACUCCGACACCCCGUCCAGUGACCUCCUGUUCUUCCUGGCACAGCCUGCUCUGGGGCGGCGUCCCGUUCACUGCCGGGAAUAACUUCACCCAGUGGGACCUGUUGGAGGUGACCUACAGGCAUGGGGGUGGCCCCUCACAGAUGGGCCGCAUUGCAUUCACGGCCUCACAUACUACUAACAGGGGCCUCUUGCUGGAGGGGAGGGUUCAGACGGAGCCUGUGUACUUCACUAUUCAGAUGGAUCUGUUGGGCAGCUCGGACCCUGAGGUAGUGCAGCUGCGGACUCUGUGGAAAGCUGAAGUUCUGUCUGACGGUCGCUAUGAUGGUCGCUAUGGGAUCUACCUCUCGUCCCGGGAGCUGAGAGCACAGGACGCCUGCACCAAGGAUGAAGACCUCACCUUCCACAGACCACCAUACUUCGGUUACCUGGACAGCACUAUCACAGAUGUGGCCCCAUAUCCAGGGGCUUGAGGCCCCCUUCCCUCAGUUGAAUAUUUUAUUUGAUUUUACUCAUAAUUAAUCUAAAUGCAUUGAAUUUGGCCAUCAGUGCCACUUCAAAAAAAGACCGUUACCAUUGCCCAUAAACAGGUUAAUUGUGUUUGCUCUUCAGUAAACUGUGCUUUUGCAGGCAGCUUUGCCCAGCAACAAAGGGAGGGACCCGAGCCAGAGGACUAUUGUGUAUAUCAUAGACCCAGUAACGGAAGCUCUGACAGCCUGAAUUUCAGAGUGUCUGAUCCUCUAGGGAACACUGGACCCUCCCACAUGUAAGAUGCUGCUCCGUGCACCACACAAAUAGUAUUAAUAUGGUCAGUUAGGGGAGGAGAACCAAUGGUCACAUACAUACUAUAUGAAGAUUUGGUAAAUGGUCCUCGACUGUAUUAGUCUCUUUAUGUAACAUAUGUACUGUAUUCUUCUAAUGAAAGAAGAUAUCAUCACACUGAACCAAUUUGGAAAGACAAUGCACAAUCCUUGGUUGGUGUGUAAAACAAUUUUUUGUCCCUCAUGGCUCCCUGCUGCAGACUAGAAUUGAAGUGGUCUCGCGUGGAGCUGGCUGUGUCUGAGUACCAGGCAUGUACUGUGUACUGAGUACCAGGCAUAUGACAACCAGGGCGCUGUCUCACUGGACAUCCUACGGAAAGACAACGUGGCAGAGUCCUCGUACAUCACCAUCAGGGUUUCUUAUCUAUCCCUUUUGAAAACAGCAUAUGUUUCUUAUACCAAGUCCUGUCAUCUAUGGAAUCGAGUGAUAGAUGGCACAUUAAAUGAAUUAUAGUGUGAUGAAUGUCACAUUUGGAAUCUCUUUUUCUUAAUAUCUUAGGUGAGAAAGUCACAGUGACCGCUGGAUUCCAUUCUGAGCCCUUCCAGCCUAAUCCAGUUUAAUCCUGGUGUGUCCAAAAGGAGCUGGCAGAUGGAGACUACCCAAGACCAACUGGAGGAGGCGUAGGAGACAUUUGAAUUGACUGGUGUCCCCUGCGGAGGCCGUGCUGGGCAGCACCUCCAGGGCUCAGGAAAAGGUGAGACUUUUGGGCGGAAGUACAGUCAUGCUGGCGUAACAAUGUGUUUGUCUAAAUUUGUAUUUUAUUUAUCACAUUGUCUUUUAUUACACAAUAUGUAUUUACAUCAAGAAACAUGAUCAAACAUGAUAGAUUCUCUCCAACUACUCCCUUGAGCCUUUUUUAUUUAACCUUUAUUUAACUAGGCAAGUCAGGUAAGAACAAAUUCUUAUUUACAAUGACGGCCUACCCCAGCCAAAC